rnacentral:tRNA from 1 species
GGGCGAAUACUCAAGUGGUCAACGAGGACAGACUGUAAAUCUGUUGGCUUAGCCUUCGUAGGUUCGAAUCCUACUUCGCCCA